AACGAACGCUGGCGGCAUGCCUAACACAUGCAAGUCGAACGAGACCUUCGGGUCUAGUGGCGCACGGGUGCGUAACGCGUGGGAACCUGCCCUUAGGUUCGGAAUAACUCCCCGAAAGGGGUGCUAAUACCGGAUAAUGUCUUCUGACCAAAGAUUUAUCGCCUUUGGUGGGGCCCGCGUUGGAUUAGCUAGUUGGUAGGGUAAAAGCCUACCAAGGCGACGAUCCAUAGCUGGUCUGAGAGGAUGAUCAGCCACACUGGGAAUGAGACACGGCCCAGACUCCUACGGGAGGAAGGAGUGGGGAAUAGUGGAAAAUGGGCGAAAGCCUGAUCCAGCAAUGCCGCGUGAGUGAUGAAGGCCUUAGGGUUGUAAAGCUCUUUUACCCGGGAUGAUAAUGACAGUACCGGGAGAAUAAGCUCCGGCUAACUCCGUG
rnacentral:rRNA from 1 species